rnacentral:rRNA from 1 species
UACGAAGGGGGCUAGCGUUGCUCGGAAUCACUGGGCGUAAAGCGCACGUAGGCGGGUCGUUAAGUCAGGGGUGAAAUCCCGGAGCUCAACUCCGGAACUGCCUUUGAUACUGGCGAUCUUGAGUCCGAGAGAGGUGAGUGGAAUUCCGAGUGUAGAGGUGAAAUUCGUAGAUAUUCGGAGGAACACCAGUGGCGAAGGCGGCUCACUGGCUCGGUACUGACGCUGAGGUGCGAAAGCGUGGGGAGCAAACAGG